AUCCUAGUAGCUUAGUGGUUAGAGUAUCGAUCUCUAAUUCUAAGGUACUAGGUUCGAAUCCUGUCGGUGACA